AACGAACGCUGGCGGCAUGCCUAACACAUGCAAGUCGAACGAGACCUUCGGGUCUAGUGGCGCACGGGUGCGUAACGCGUGGGAACCUGCCCUUAGGUUCGGAAUAACUCCCCGAAAGGGGUGCUAAUACCGGAUAAUGUCUUCGGACCAAAGAUUUAUCGCCUUUGGAUGGGCCCGCGUUGGAUUAGCUAGUUGGUAGGGUAAAGGCCUACCAAGGCGACGAUCAAUAGCUGGUCUGAGCGGAUGAUCAGCCACACUGGGACUGAGACACGGCCCAGACGGGUGAGGGAGGAAGCAGUGGGGAAAACUGCGCAAUGGGCGCGAGCGGGAUGUAGCAAAGCGGCGUGAGUGAAGAAGGAAUUAUGAUUGUAAAAAAAUGUUAUAAGGGAAGAACAAACACCUAAGUACAUGUCCACGGCAUGACCGGAGCCAAUAAGAAAGCCCCGGCUAACUUCGUG
rnacentral:rRNA from 1 species